GUAGGGAAUCUUCGGCAAUGGACGAAAGUCUGACCGAGCAACGCCGCGUGAGUGAAGAAGGUUUUCGGAUCGUAAAACUCUGUUGUUAGAGAAGAACAAGGAUGAGAGUAGAACGUUCAUCCCUUGACGGUAUCUAACCAGAAAGCCACGGCUAACUACGUGCCAGCAGCCGCGGUAAUACGUAGGUGGCAAGCGUUGUCCGGAUUUAUUGGGCGUAAAGCGAGCGCAGGCGGUUUCUUAAGUCUGAUGUGAAAGCCCCCGGCUCAACCGGGGAGGGUCAUUGGAAACUGGGAGACUUGAGUGCAGAAGAGGAGAGUGGAAUUCCAUGUGUAGCGGUGAAAUGCGUAGAUAUAUGGAGGAACACCAGUGGCGAAGGCGGCUCUCUGGUCUGUAACUGACGCUGAGGCUCGAAAGCGUGGGGAGCGAACAGG
rnacentral:rRNA from 1 species